CCUACGGGCGGCAGCAGUGAGGAAUAUUGGUCAAUGGACGAGAGUCUGAACCAGCCAAGUAGCGUGAAGGAUGACUGCCCUAUGGGUUGUAAACUUCUUUUAUAUGGGAAUAAAAUGUUCCACGUGUGGGAUUUUGUAUGUACCAUAUGGAUAAGGAUCGGCUAACUCCGUGCCAGCAGCCGCGGUAAUACGGAGGAUCCGAGCGUUAUCCGGAUUUAUUGGGUUUAAAGGGAGCGUAGGUGGAUUGUUAAGUCAGUUGUGAAAGUUUGCGGCUCAACCGUAAAAUUGCAGUUGAAACUGGCAGUCUUGAGUACAGUAGAGGUGGGCGGAAUUCGUGGUGUAGCGGUGAAAUGCUUAGAUAUCACGAAGAACUCCGAUUGCGAAGGCAGUUCACUGGACUGCAACUGACACUGAGGCUCGAAAGUGUGGGUAUCAAACAGGAUUAGAUACCCCAGUAGUC
rnacentral:rRNA from 1 species